UGGGGAAUUUUGGACAAUGGGCGAAAGCCUGAUCCAGCAAUGCCGCGUGCAGGAUGAAGGCCUUCGGGUUGUAAACUGCUUUUGUACGGAACGAAAAAGCCUCUCCUAAUACGAGAGGCCCAUGACGGUACCGUAAGAAUAAGCACCGGCUAACUACGUGCCAGCAGCCGCGGUAAUACGUAGGGUGCGAGCGUUAAUCGGAAUUACUGGGCGUAAAGCGUGCGCAGGCGGUUAUGUAAGACAGAUGUGAAAUCCCCGGGCUCAACCUGGGAACUGCAUUUGUGACUGCAUGGCUAGAGUACGGUAGAGGGGGAUGGAAUUCCGCGUGUAGCAGUGAAAUGCGUAGAUAUGCGGAGGAACACCGAUGGCGAAGGCAAUCCCCUGGACCUGUACUGACGCUCAUGCACGAAAGCGUGGGGAGCAAACA
rnacentral:rRNA from 1 species